rnacentral:piRNA from 1 species
UGAUCCUGUCACAGCCCAGCAAUCCCAGU